rnacentral:tRNA from 1 species
AUUUUUUUAAUAUAAAUAAAGUAUAUCUGACUUCCAAUCAGAAAGUCUAGCACCUAGAAAAAAUA